rfam:Ornithorhynchus anatinus chromosome X1, whole genome shotgun sequence.
AGCAGAGUGGCUCAGUGGAAAGAGCAUGGGCUUAAGAGUCAGCGUUUGUGGGUUCUAAUCCCGGCUCUGCCA